rnacentral:rRNA from 1 species
GGUGAAGUUUUCGGAUCGCGGCGACGCCGGCGGUUCGCCGCCGGUGUUGUUGUGAGAAGUUCAUUAAACCUUAUCAUUUAGAGGAAGGAGAAGUCGUAACAAGGUUUCCGUAGGUGAACCUGCGGAAGGAUCAUUGAACACACGAUCUAUGAAAAACUCUGCGAAUCCUUUUGUACAACGAGGGAUCGUGCCCGGAGGCACGUUCGUCGAUGCUCGAGUCGGGUUUCAUGUGCGUCCGCCGUGACCCUCCCGUUCGAUGCGUGGCGGGAUUCAGUGACUCGGGUUUCGUCGUAGGACCGCCCCAGACACGCGUGGUUCCGAGUGCAUCCGUACUCGGAGCCGGGAGUGCGUCCCCUCCUCCAACGGAGGGGGAGUCCCGGCGGAGCCGGCCUGCCUGCCAGGACGAGCCACCGUCGGAGCGCUCUCCCUCUUUGGUGCCCAUUUUCUCUCAAAGAAACUCGAUAAAACAGAGGACGAUGCGACCGAGGGGAGCGAGGGAUUGCCACGGCGAUCCCGAGCUCCCACGAAAGCGAAAACACCAAUGACUCUCAGCAACGGAUAUCUUGGCUCUUGCAACGAUGAAGAACGCAGCGAAAUGCGAUACCUAGUGUGAAUUGCAGAAUUCCGCGAAUCAUCAAGUUUUUGAACGCAAGUUGCGCCCGAGGCUCGUCUGAGGGCAUGCCUGCCUGAGCGUCCGCUCCGACCCACCCACGAGUCCCCCCUCCUCCUCCUCCAAAAGACGGGGAGGGUCCGACAUCGUGCGAGUGGAAUUGGUCGUCCGAGAACUCGCUCGUCCCCACGUGGGACGAUCGGAGGAGUAUCACCGGUCGGCUGAAAAAUGGGAACCGUCCGUCGAAACGCGCGCCGGGGCUGAGGUGCGUCGCGAGAAGGUGCCAUCCUCUCAUCGUCGUUCGCGGCUCGAGACGGAUGUUGGUUUUAGAGCGACGUGCCACCUCGGCGGAGUCGAGAUUCGACGGUUCGGUGAAGUAUUUUACAUGGGGAGCGGGAAUGACUACGGCACUUCCCCCGCGUCUCCCUCGGAAAGAGGGCAGGCGCGGGGGAUGUCGAGUCCGAACGCAACGUUGCUCGGACCUCAGAUCAGGCAAGACCACCCGCUGAGUUUAAGCAUAUCACUAAGCGGAGGAAAAGAAACUAACAAGGAUUUCCUUAGUAACGGCGAGCGAACCGG